GUUGGCCCAAAUCCUGGUGCCCUUCACACUCCUGUGGGGACAGUCAGCACCCCCUCUUCCCUGUUCUAAUAAAGAGGCUGCUGUUGUGGUCAAGGCCGUGUGUGGGGUGAGGAGAGGGGGUGUGUCAGCACCCUGCUUCACUGCCCAUACCUCCCAAUGAAAGGAUCAGGGAUGCCACAUCUUCAUUUGACAAUUAGCCUGAAGUCCCAGGGAAAGUGGAAUUUGUCACUUAAAAAAGCAGUAGCUUCCAGGAGCGCUACACCUGGAACACGGACUUGAGCUAUUUCCACGCUCAUCACCUGCAUGUUUAACCUCCAGAUGGCUGGAUAGAACUGGUGCAUAGGGGGCUGUUGGGGGUGUAGGGUUGUCAGUGUCGAACCUGGGUCUUCAUUACAGACCCACCUCUGAAGUAGAAGAGAGCUGAAGAGUAGGAUCCCUCUCGGAGAAUAAGGCAGGGCAGGCACAUGGGAGAGCCCCAAAGAUGCUUAGAUUUCUGUGUGCCAGCAAGUCUGACCUCGAGGACAGGUACUCCUUGUUGUACUGUUGGAGAAAAGGAAACUUCAGCGAUGGGUGGAGACUUGCUGGAGGCCAUGAGGAAAGCCUGACAGAGCUAAGUGUUGGCCUUGGAACAGGAUGGGAAGGUAACCUCCGAGUCCCACACCCACCUCUGGAUGUGCACGGUCAGCUCAGUUCUCUGUCACGCCCACCCCAGCCAUGGCAGGCAGCCUCCUAUUUCACCUUCUGUAAAAGUAUCCCAGAGACCCAAGCCAAGCCUUCAUUUUUCUAGAAAAUAUGCAGAUGCACUUUGUUAUUAUAGGCACACAUGUAUUUUUUUUUUUUUUUUUUUUUUGCUUUUGAGGGCUGCACCCGAGGCAUAUGGAGGUUCCCAGGCCAGGGAUCCAAUUGGAGCUACAGCCACCAGCCUACACCACAGCCACAGCAACACAGGAGCCAAGCCAUGUCUGUGACCUAUACCACAGCUCAUGCAACACCAGAUCCUUAACCCACUGAGUGAGGCUGGGGAUCAAACCUGCAACCUCAUGGUUCCUAGUCGGAUUUGUUUCCUCUUAGCCACAACGGGAACUCCCACACAUGUAAUCUUUAUUUUAUAUAAAUGCGCAUGCUCUCCAGGCAACUCUUAGUAUGCAAGAAUGUACUUCCCUAAAAUAGAUGGUGGCAGGUUCCAGGCUCAGCUUAGGCUGGGAAGAAGUGGUUGGGCUUGUAGAGACUGCUAAGCUCUUCCCUCUAAGUGGGUCCAGGGUGGUGUGACGUGGUGAGCAAGGCUAGGAGGUCACCUGGCCCUGUCACACGUGUGAUCUGAGGGAAGUGAGAGAUUCGCUAAAACUUUUAUCUUCAAAUUGCAUGGACUGAUUUAGCUUCUUGCUAUGGUUGUGUUUGGUUAAUUCUUUUUUCCUUCCUCCCCCUUUUUGGUUUUUUUAAAAAUUAAAAAUCCAGAGAUUGCUAUGCCUUGAAAAAUGGAAACCUUCAAUGGUGUUACCAAAUUAGGAGUUCUUCUCUUCAUUUUCAGAAUCCUAAGGAAUUUUAUUUCAAGAAAACAAAAAAUCAUAGCAAGGUGAGGGAGUUCCCAUUGUGGCUCAGCAUCUUAAGUACCUGACCAGUGUCUAUGAGGAUGCGGAUUCGACCCCUGGCCUUGCUCAGUGGGUUAAGAACCCAACAAGUGUCCAAGAGGAUGCAGGUUCUAUCCCUGGCCUUACUCAGUGGGUUAAAUAUCUGGUGUUGCUGUGGCUGUAGUGUAGACUGGCAGCGGCAGCUCCGAUUUGACCCCUAGCCUGGAAACUUCCAUAUGCCACAGGUGUGACCCUGAAAAGAAAAAAUAAAUAAUAAAAAAUAAGGUGAGAGUUACUCUUUUUGCCUGUUGCCUGUUGCCAGGUGAUGGCAGGCAGACAGCACUUGGGGACUAUCCGGCCGUUCUGCCGAGUGUGGUGGGUGAGGUCAGGGAGACAGAAGGGGUGGCCCAUUCCUGGCUCCUGAGAGUAGGAAAGUGUAUAAGGCGGCCCAGGGGGCUUUUCUGUUGGCUGCAGCUCUGCGGUCUUUGGGAAGAGGCAGUGUCUGCUGCCCCAGAAGCAGGCUAUCUCCCAGCUGUCACUGCCCGGCCAGCCUGGGUCCUGCUGACUGGCCGCCAAGUUUGUAUCAAGUGAUCCAGUCUCUCUCCCUGCCCAUGGCUUUGAGAAAGUCCAUCCCCACCCCAGCCCUGGGACUUUUGUAUCCUACUGUCCUCCUGGCUUUGAAUACUUGUCCACAGUGUGUCUCAUUUCUCUGCUCCUGAAAGCAAGGUCACCUCUGAGGCCAGUAAGCUGCUCCUUCUUCUAGGUCUCUGAGCUCAGAAGAGAGUCCUACAGUUGCUUUGUUCCCUGUGGCAUAAUUAGGCUUUACUAGUCAGAUGCCCCCACCACACUGGCCACCUGUGAGUGUGUGUGUGUGUGUGUGUGUGUGUGUGUGUGUGUGUAGGUGGGUGGGCAAGGGGGGUAGUUUUCAUUCUCUUUUCUGAGCACUCCCUCCUUGCUCCUCCACCCUCAGGAUUUAAUUCCAAGGCCCUGAGGCCUCUCUCCCAACUCCCCAGAUACUGGGGCCUGCUGGGGAGAAAGAAUUAAAUGGACAUGUAAAUUUCCACAACGGCAACAAACAGCCUUCAAUAAGGUUCUGACUUGAAUCCUGAAAUCUAAAUAUUUCCAGGCAAAAUCCUCCCUUCCUGCCUCCUAAAUUCCCCUGCCUGGUACAGCUGACCUUAGAGCACAAAGACCUUCAGGGAGAGGUGGCCUGUGGCAUUUCAAGUGAAGCCGUGUCUAUGGAUGAACAUUAUCAUGGGCAUAGAAGCUUCUGGCUGAACGAUAACCAGGCCUGACCUUCUUGGCCAGAGGCCCAGGCACACAGGGUCCUUGGUGACUUCACUAUGGCCAGCCCACCUUUGGGGGCUGGGUCCACUCGAGCACCCAGUGCAGUUCCCCUGGCACCUCCCUUUCAUUUCAUUCACCUGACAAGGGCACAGUCCCUCACAGGGAGCUGCCCAAAUAAUUUCCUCUGGAGGAAAUGUCAGCUUCCUUUAUUAUCUUCUGUUCCCCCACGAUGGCUUAGGGCUUCUUUCUUUCUCUGAGGAGAAGACUGCAACCAAGACCCCUAUUUAGGUAAAGCUCUCCCGCCCUAAGGGCUUCUCACCUGGGCCUGUCCUGAGAAUAGUGCCUUUGGUGCAAUCAAGGUCUGUUGGCAACAGCAAGCUGCAUGCCCCUUUCUGAAGGCUGAAAGCUGCUGCUUUUCAAGAGGAGGCCACACUAAGGGAUCAUGAGUAUGAGGCCAGAGUGAUAGAAAGAAAUUCAGCUUCUCAAGAUACUGGUCUGCGGUUCCAGGCAGAGCAAUCUCCAGACCUUGGGCUGGCCCAGGAGCAAUCAGCAAAUCAUCAGCUCUUAUUGGGCACUUAAUGUGUGCAAAGGCUGUUAAGGAGAGGAGCCGAGGUGUCUGAUCCACCUCCCAGGAAGCUUAGAGACCAGUUGGGGAAAUAAGACCAACUCAGGGAGCAGUUGCAGCACUUCAGGGCUACCAACUGACUCAGUGACAUUGGACAAUGCUCUUAACCUCUCAGAGGCUCCUUACCUCAUCUGUAAGUUGGGAACAAUAUUAACAAAAGCCAAGCCUGGACCAGCCAGAUGAUGUUCAAUGGAGUUCAGAAAAGGACAGGUGCCUUUGGGUGCAGUGGUCAGAGAAGGCUUCCUAGAUUGGGGGCUCCUUGAAGGUAGGGGCUGUGAGAUUCAUCUUUUCUCUCCAGGUCUACUCCCGGGAAUUCAGCAGGUACUUACAUGCAUUUUGAAUGAACAGAUACAAGAGAGGGAGUUCUCUUUGUGGUGCAGUGGAAACGAAUCCGACUAGUAUCCAUGAGGAUGAGAGUUUGAUUCCUGGCCCUGCUGAGUGGGUCAGGGAUCCUGGCGCGUUGGUGAGCUGCAGCGUAGGUUGCAGAUGUGGCUCAGAUCCUGUGUUGCUGUGGCUGUGGAGUAGGCUGGCAGCUAUAGCUUCGAUUCGAUCCUUAGCCUGGGAACUUCCAUAUGCCAUGAGUGCAACC
rnacentral:lncRNA from 1 species